GUAUAGGUGAAGUCAUGUUUAGAGGCAACACAAUCAUGAAUGGAUACCUUAAGAACAUAAAAGCAACAGAGGAUGCCUUUAAGGGUGGCUGGUUCCGAAGUGGGGACUUGGCAGUGAGACACCCUGAUGGAUACAUAGAAAUCAAGGACCGGUCGAAGGACAUAAUCAUCUCCGGGGGAGAAAACAUUAGCUCAAUUGAAGUCGAAUCGGUGCUUUAUAGCCAUCCGGCAGUAGUGGAGGCAGCUGUGGUGGCAAGACCAGAUGAUUAUUGGGGGGAGACACCUUGUGCAUUUGUGAAGUUGAAGGACGGGUACAGAGUCAGUGCCGAAGAGAUUAUCAAGCAUUGUCGAGACAACUUGCCACAUUACAUGGCUCCUCGAACGGUGAUUUUCGAGGAUUUGCCCAAGACUUCGACCGGAAAGACACAGAAAUAUGUUCUACGAGAGAAGGCCAAGGCAUUAGGAAGCAUUUCGAAGAAUAAAAGCAAACUGUAGGUGCCCAUGAGUACGAGAGAACUUUGUACUUGGGGUUGAAUUUGAAA